rnacentral:rRNA from 1 species
AGAGUUUGAUCAUGGCUCAGCCUGAACGCUGGCGGCGUGGUUAACACAUGCAAGUCGCACGGUGUAGCCCUACACAGUGCCCAACGGGUGAAUAAUGUGUCGCUAACGUGCCCCGGACUCCGGGAUACCCGUCCGAAAGGGCGGGUAAUACCGGGUAACAUACCGAAAAGGCAUCUCUUUGGUCUCGGAGGUUCGCCGGUCCGGGAGCGGGCGACAUCGUAUCAGCUAGUUGGUGGGGUAACGGCCCACCAAGGCGACGACGCGUAGCCGGACUGAGAGGUCGGCCGGCCACAUCGGGACUGAGACACUGCCCGGACUCCUACGGGGGGCUGCAGUAACGAAUCUUCCCCAAUGCACGAAAGUGUGAGGGAGCGACGCCGCGUGUGGGACGAAGUCCUUCGGGAUGUAAACCACUGUCAGGGGUUACCAAGUUCUGAGGAGCCCCAGAGGAAGUGGCGGCUAAAUCUGUGCCAUCAGCCGCGGUAAGACAGAGGCCACGAGCGUUAGGCGGAAUCACUGGGCUUAAAGCGUGUGUAGGCGGACCGUUAAGUGCCCGCGUGAAAUCCCCCGGCUCAACCGGGGAACGGCCGGGCAUACUGGCGGUCUUGAGCGGUCUAGGGGUCAUCGGAACAGACAGUGGAGCGGUGAAAUGCGUAGAUAUCGUUUGGAACGCCGACAGUGAAAACAGAUGACUGGGGACCUGCUGACGCUGAGACACAAGAUCCAGAGGAGCAAACGGGAUUACAUACCCCGGUAGUCCUGGCGCUAAACGAUGUCGACUACAUCGUGGUCCCUCUGACGGGUUCACGGUCGAAUCAAAGUGCUAAGUCGACCGCCUGGGAACUACGGUCGCAAGGCUAAAACUCAAAGGAAUUGACGG